AUUGAACGCUGGCGGCAUGCCUAACACAUGCAAGUCGAACGAGUGGCGGACGGGUGAGUAAUGUCUGGGAAACUGCCCGAUGGAGGGGGAUAACUACUGGAAACGGUAGCUAAUACCGCAUACCAUCGGAUGUGCCCAGAUGGGAUUGGCUAGUUGGGGGGGUAACGGCUCACCUAGGCGACGAUCCCUAGCUGGUUUGAGAGGAUGACCAGCCAAACGGGAACUGAGACACGGCCCAGAAUCCUACGGGAGGCAGCAGUGGGGAAUAUUGGACAAUGGGGGCAAGCCUGAUGCAGCCAUGCCGCGUGUAUGAAGAAGGCCUUCGGGUUGUAAAGUACUUUCAGCGGGGAGGCGUUACUCGCAGAAGAAGCACCGGCUAACUACGUGCCAGCAGCCGCGGUAAUAC
rnacentral:rRNA from 1 species